GCUGUUGUAGCUCAGCUGGUAGAGCAACUGAUUCGUAAUCAGUAGGUCGGAGGUUCGAAUCCUCUCAACAGCACCA
rnacentral:tRNA from 1 species